GGCUAGUCUGAUGGUGGUGGGUUAUCAGAACUUAUUAAUGUUAGUGUCACAAAGUUGUUGUGUUUCACACUGUUGAAUCUGACUAGUUUAAA
rnacentral:Y_RNA from 1 species